UCCGUAGGCGGUGCGGCAAGUCGGGGGUGAAAUCUCUGGGCUUAACUCAGAGGCUGCCUCCGAAACUGCCGUGCUCGAGCGCGGGAGAGGCGAGCGGAAUUGCAGGUGUAGCGGUGAAAUGCGUAGAUAUCUGCAGGAACACCCGUGGCGAAAGCGGCUCGCUGGACCGUUACUGACGCUGAGGGACGAAAGCUAGGGGAGCAAACAGGAUUAGAUACCCUGGUAGUCCUAGCCCUAAACCAUCAGGACUUGGGGUGUCUCGCGUCCGCGGGACGUCCCGGAGCUAACGCGUUAAGUCCUGCGCCUGGGGAGUACGGUCGCAAGACUGAA
rnacentral:rRNA from 1 species